AGCAAACGCUGGCGGCGUGCCUAAUACAUGCAAGUCGAACGAGGUAGCAAUACCUAGUGGCGCACGGGUGAGUAACACGUGGGUAAUCUGCCUUCGAGUGGGGGAUAACUAGUCGAAAGAUUAGCUAAUACCGCAUAAGACCACAGGAGCUUCGGCUCCAGAGGUCAAAGCAGCAAUGCGCUUGAAGAUGAGCCCGCGUCAGAUUAGCUAGUUGGUGAGGUAAUGGCCCACCAAGGCGAUGAUCUGUAGCUGGUCUGAGAGGAUGAUCAGCCACACUGGAACUGAGACACGGUCCAGACUCCUACGGGAGGCAGCAGUAGGGAAUAUUGCGCAAUGGGGGAAACCCUGACGCAGCGACGCCGCGUGAGUGAUGAAGGCCUUCGGGUCGUAAAGCUCUGUUGCAGGGGAAUAACACAAUGAAGGUACCCUGUGAGGAAGGAUCGGCUAACUUCGUGCCAGCAGCCGCAGUAAGAC
rnacentral:rRNA from 1 species